rnacentral:rRNA from 1 species
GUAAACGGCGGCCGUAACUAUAACGGUCCUAAGGUAGCGAAAUUCCUUGUCGGGUAAGUUCCGACCCGCACGAAUGGUGUAACGAUUCUGGGCGCUGUCUCAACGCGAGGCUCGGUGAAAUUUAUGUGCCGGUAAAGAAGCCGGCUACCCAUAAUUAGACGGAAAGACCCCGUGAACCUUCACCGCAACUUAAUAUUGGGACUUUAUUCAUCAUGUGUAGGAUAGCUGGGAGGCUGUGAUGCGUGGCCGUCAGGUUGCGCGGAGCCGCCGGUGAAAUACCAGCCUUGGUGGAUGGGGUUUCUAACCCUCUCCCUGGAGCGGGGGCGGGGACAAUGUUAGGCGGGCGGUUUGACUGGGGCGGUCGCCUCCCAAACGGUAACGGAGGUGCGCGAAGGUCUCCUCGCGGUGGUCGGAAAUCACCGUACGAGUGUAAAGGCACAAGGAGGCUUGACUGCGAGGGAGACAUCCCGAGCAGGUACGAAAGUAGGUCUUAAUGAUCUGGCGGUUCCGAGUGGAAGGGCCGUCACUUAACGGACAAAAGGUACUCCGGGGAUAACAGGCUGAUUUUCCCCAAGAGUUCACAUCGACGGGAAAGUUUGGCACCUCGAUGUCGGCUCAUCGCAUCCUGGGGCUGGAGCAGGUCCCAAGGGUUCGGCUGUUCGCCGAUUAAAGCGGUACGUGAGCUGGGUUCAGAACGUCGCGAGACAGUUCGGUCCCUAUCUGUUAUGGGCGUUGGAUGUCUGAGAGGAUCUGCUUUUAGUACGAGAGGACCGAAGUGGACGAACCUCUGGUAUGCCGGUUGUGCCGCCAGGCGCAGGUGCCGGGUAGCUAAGUUCGGGACGGAUAACCGCUGAAAGCAUCUAAGCGGGAAGCCGGCCUCAAGACGAGACAUCCCCGGGGACACCGGUCCCCCUGAAGGCUCCCGGGAGACUACCGGGUCGAUAGGCUGCAGGUGCAAGCGUCGCGAGGCGUUCAGCCGAGCAGUACUAAUAAGCCGUGAGGCUUGGCCAU